rnacentral:rRNA from 1 species
GACGAACGCUGGCGGCGUGCCUAAUACAUGCAAGUCGAACGAAGCUGUUUUAACUGGUGCUUGCACCGACUUAAACAACUGAGUGGCGAACGGGUGAGUAACACGUGGGUAACCUGCCCCAAAGCGGGGGAUAACAUUUGGAAACAGAUGCUAAUACCGCAUAACCACAGAAACCACAUGGUUUCUGUGUCAAAGAUGGUUUCGGCUAUCACUUUGGGAUGGACCCGCGGCGUAUUAGCUAGUUGGUAAGGUAAUGGCUUACCAAGGCAAUGGGACGUAGCCGGACUGAGGGGUUGAACGGCCACAUUGGGACUGAGACACGGCACAAACUGCUACGGGAGGCAGCAGUAGGGAAUCUUCCACAAUGGACGAAAGUCUGAUGGAGCAACGCCGCGUGAGUGAAGAAGGUUUUCGGAUCGUAAAACUCUGUUGUCAGAGAAGAACGUGUGCGAGAGUAACUGUUCGUGCAGUGACGGUAUCUGGCCAGAAAGCCACGGCUAACUACGUGCCAGCCGCCGCCGUAA